AAAGAAAUACAUGACCAAAGAGAUCAACAGAUCAAUAUAUCAGCUAGAGAUCAAUACAUCCUAAUAUCAGCCAGAGAUCAAUACAUCCCAAUAUCAGCCAGAGAUCAAUAUAUCCCAAUAUCAGCUAGAGAUCAAUACAUCCCAAUAUCAGCUAGAGAUCAAUACAUCCCAAUAUCAGCCAGAGAUCAACACAUCCCAAUAUCAGCCAGAGAUCAAUACAUCCCAAUAUCAGCUAGAGAUCAAUACAUCCCAAUAUCAGCUAGAGGUCAAUACAUCCCAAUAUCAGCCAGAGAUCAACACAUCCCAAUAUCAGCCAGAGAUCAAUACAUCCCAAUAUCAGCUAGAGAUCAAUACAUCCCAAUAUCAGCUAGAGAUCAAUACAUCCCAAUAUCAGCUAGAGAUCAACACAUCCUAAUAUCAGCCAGAGAUCAACACAUCAAUAUAUCAGCCUUAGAUCAACACAUCCUAAUAUCAGCCAGAGAUCAACACAUCCCAAUAUCAGCCAGAGAUCAACACAUCCCAAUAUCAGCUAGAGAUCAAUAUAUCCCAAUAUCAGCCAGAGAUCAACACAUCCUAAUAUCAGCCAGAGAUCAACACAUCCCAAUAUCAGCCAGAGAUCAAUACAUCCCAAUAUCAGCCAGAGAUCAACACAUCCCAAUAUCAGCCAGAGAUCAAUACAUCCCAAUAUCAGCCAGAGAUCAACACAUCCCAAUAUCAUCCAGAGAUCAACACAUCCCAAUAUCAGCCAGAGAUCAAUACAUCCUAAUAUCAGCCAGAGAUCAAUACAUCCCAAUAUCAGCCAGAGAUCAAUACAUCCUAAUAUCAGCCAGAGAUCAAUACAUCCCAAUAUCAGCCAGAGAUCAAUACAUCCUAAUAUCAGCUAGAGAUCAACAGAUCAACAUAUCAGCCAGAGAUCAAUACAUCCCAAUAUCAGCCAGAGAUCAAUAUAUCCCAAUAUCAGCCAGAGAUCAACACAUCCCAAUAUCAGCCAGAGAUCAAUAUAUCCCAAUAUCAGCUAGAGAUCAAUACAUCCUAAUAUCAGCUAGAGAUCAACAGAUCAACAUAUCAGCCAGAGAUCAAUACAUCCCAAUAUUAGCCAGAGAUCAAUAUAUCCCAAUAUCAGCUAGAGAUCAAUACAUCCUAAUAUCAGCUAGAGAUCAAUAUAUCCUAAUAUCAGCCAGAGAUCAACACAUCCUAAUAUCAGCUAGAGAUCAAUAUAUCUCAAUAUCAGCCAGAGAUCAAUACAUCCCAAUAUCAGCCAGAGAUCAAUAUAUCCCAAUAUCAGCCAGAGAUCAAUACAUCCCAAUAUCAGCCAGAGAUCAAUACAUCCCAAUAUCAGCCAGAGAUCAACACAUCCCAAUAUCAGCCAGAGAUCAAUACAUCCCAAUAUCAGCCAGAGAUCAACACAUCCCAAUAUCAGCCAGAGAUCAAUACAUCCCAAUAUCAGCCAGAGAUCAAUACAUCCCAAUAUCAGCCAGAGAUCAAUACAUCCCAAUAUCAGCCAGAGAUCAAUACAUCCUAAUAUCAGCCAGAGAUCAAUACAUCCCAGUAUCAGCUAGAGAUCAACACAUCCCAAUAUCAGCCAGAGAUCAACACAUCCCAAUAUCAGCCAGAGAUCAACACAUCCCAAUAUCAGCCAGAGAUCAACACAUCCCAACCAGACACAAAAAUGUAACUUUUAUUCACUCAAUAGAAAAGGCACAAGAUGCCUAA
ensembl:lncRNA